rnacentral:lncRNA from 13 species
AUACAGUCAUGUCUCCCCUAGUCCUUCCCCAAAGGGACUUACCUGCAGAGCAGAUAUGGGGAAUACCCAGACAUUCUGAUGACAGUUAGACAUGGGGUUUGAGAUGACACUGAUCCCCUUUUGUUAGUGGGAAAUGUAUUGGGACUAGAUAAGAAAUGAGGUCCUGACUAGCUCACUCUGGGACCACUGAGACUGACCUAGCUAGUGGUCAUUUUGUCAUUUUUUUUUUUUGUAUGUUUUGUUUUGGAAACAGGGUCUUGCUCUGUCACCCAGGCUGGAGUGCCGUGGUGCAAUCUCAGCUCACUGCAACCUCUGCCUCCCUGGCUCAAGUGAUUCUCAUGCCUCAGCCUCCCCGGCAGCUGGGACUACAGCUGGGCAUGGCUGCAGAGGCCAUGGAGAGAUACCUGAGCCUACUCGAGAAUUUUUUGCAGAAUCACAGAGGUUCAUUUUUGGCUUAGAGGUAUUUGUUUUGCAUUUGUUUGUUUGUGUUUUCUUUUGUUUUUUUUUUUAAACUCUACUCCCCUCCCCACAAAAAGGCAAACCAAUCUUAAAUAUUUGAAAGAGAAAUUAUUCAACUUGUUGCUGUAUGAACUGGCAAAACGUUCUCUUCACCUCCACUGGAAGGAUCUCUAGAGUCAAAAGGAUCUCAUCAGAGCUACUCUAUGUGAACUAGCACCCAUUCUUUCAACUAGCUUAACUUGGUGCUUCUGUAAACCUGUCGGGUCUCAGUUAAAAGAAGAAAUGUUUCUUGGCAUAAUAAUGGCAGGGGCUGAUGGUAGUGGUGGUCCAUAAAGGUGACGGUCAAAACUAAGCUAAAAGCAAUGUUCUUUCCUUUUUGAGUCUAGUAAAAUGAAUGAUUGUUGUUACGAGCCUCAUUUACUUCACUGGGGACACAUGUCUCACCAGUGAGGAACCUAAAUUGUCAUUGAAUUUUCUUUCUUUUUUUAAUUUACGAAGAAAAGGUUUAACUGACUCACAGUUCCAAAGGCUGUACAGGAAGCAUAGCUGGGGAGGCCUCAGGAAACUUACACUCAUGACAGAAGGCAAAGUGUAAAUGAUCACCAGAAGAGAGGGAAAGAGAGCAGAGAGAGGAAGGUACCACACACUUAAACAACCAGAUCUCCUGAGAACUCUGUCCCAAGACAGCACUAGGGGGAUGGUGCUAAACCGUUAGAAACCACUCCCAUAAUUCAAUCACCUCCCACCAGCCUCCACAUUCUACACUAGGGAUUACAACUCAACAUGAGAUUUGGGUGGGGACACAGACCCAAACCAUAUCACCCUAUGCUCUGUUAUCUCCAUCUUUGUUAGUUGACAUAUCUAGUUAUGUAGCCAUUUUAUCUUGG